GCCUGGGUGGCUCAGUGGGUUGAGCAGCUGACUCUUGAUCUCAGCUCAGGUCUUGAUCUCAAGAUCAUGAGUUCGAGCCCCACCUUGGGCU
rfam:Canis lupus familiaris chromosome X, whole genome shotgun sequence.